rnacentral:rRNA from 1 species
AGAGUUUGAUCCUGGCUCAGAACGAACGCUGGCGGCGUGCUUAACACAUGCAAGUCGAACGCGAAAAGGGGCAACCCUCGGUAGCGUGGCAGACGGGUGAGUAACACGUGGGUAACCUACCCGGAGGUGGGGGAUAACCCUUCGAAAGGAGGGCUAAUACCGCAUAACAUCGCGAGGACCUCGGUCCUUGCAAUCAAAGCUGGCCUCUGUUUACAAGCUAGCGCCACCGGAUGGGCCCGCGCCCCAUUAGCUAGUUGGUGAGGUAACGGCUCACCAAGGCAACGAUGGGUAGCCGGCCUGAGAGGGCGACCGGCCACACUGGAACUGCGACACGGUCCAGACUCCUACGGGAGGCAGCAGUGAGGAAUCUUGCGCAAUGGGCGAAAGCCUGACGCAGCGACGCCGCGUGAAGGAUGAAGGUCUUCGGAUUGUAAACUUCUGUCGAGCGGGACGAAUGCCAUGAGGGUGAACAAUCCUCGUGGUUGACGGUACCGCUGAGAG